AGUGAACGCUGGCGGUAGGCCUAACACAUGCAAGUCGAACGGCAGCACAGUAAGAGCUUGCUCUUACGGGUGGCGAGUGGCGGACGGGUGAGGAAUACAUCGGAAUCUACUUUUUCGUGGGGGAUAACGUAGGGAAACUUACGCUAAUACCGCAUACGACCUACGGGUGAAAGCAGGGGAUCUUCGGCCCUUGCGCGAUUGAAUGAGCCGAUGUCGGAUUAGCUAGUUGGCGGGGUAAAGGCCCACCAAGGCGACGAUCCGUAGCUGGUCUGAGAGGAUGAUCAGCCACACUGGAACUGAGACACGGUCCAGACUCCUACGGGAGGCAGCAGUGGGGAAUAUUGGACAAUGGGCGCAAGCCUGAUCCAGCCAUACCGCGUGGGUGGAGAAGGCCUUCGGGUUGUAAAGCCCUUUUGUUGGGAAAGAAAAGCAGCAGGUUAAUACCCCGCUGUUCUGACGGUACCCAAAGAAUAAGCACCGGCUAACUUCGUG
rnacentral:rRNA from 1 species